GUUUCUAUUCCCUUAUUCAAAAAACUAUCUGUGUGCAUCUUUGCUAGGUGCUGUGGUGGACAUCUGAGGUAAGAGAAUGAAGACAUUUUCACUUCCCUGAAGAUUUCAUUCUUGUUGGCACAGAUCAUUGAAAGCUAGCUGGAGAAAAGCAUAGUGAAAAUGUUUUAUGAACUGAGAAAUAUUCUUGGCUGACUUUCAAAGCUUCAGUAGGAAACAAAAACCAUAAAACUGACAUCCUAGGAAAUCAAAAACAACUCUAUGAAAAAGUUUAAAUACAAA
rnacentral:lncRNA from 1 species